CAUUUAUGAGGGCUUUCUGCGACUGAUCCGCUCUUUCACAGAAGGAAAGCAUCACUCAGUGACAUUUUGUGGACUCAGAAAGGGCAAAAACAUGGAAUAAUAGUCCUCCUCCUGUUGGCACGACGGUUUCACCCAGCUGGCAAAAUGCUAAAGGUGGCAUUUUACCUCUGCCAUCUGGAAGAAGUCAGUCUGAGCCUAAAUUAAUCAUUAAAUAGGCUGCGUUAGUCAUUAAAGUAAAUAAUGCCUCCAACCGCUGCUCGAGGGGAAACAACGCCAGUUUGUGCAUGAAUGUUCACUCUGUUCAGACAGACUUCAUCAUCUGAGGACAGACGUCACUGUGGUGGUUUCCAACUGAGGCAACAUCCACCUCCAUGGCGGCGGCGGCAGAGUCGCGCUUGCCGAUGGUGCGAGCGUAGAGGCGGUGGAGCAGCCCAUCGGAGCCGUGACGGAUGUACUGCUGCAGCUGGGCGCAGGUGCGGUCGUCGCUGGCACAGAUGAGCACGCCGCCUGCCAUCACACAGUUACACACUGUUCAAGCCUGCUUCUUCAUUCUUGUUGAGCUGUUCUGACCCCGACACCCUGACAGGCUCAGCAGGACGGCGCCCUCACCUGCUUCCUCGCAGCUCUUGUUCUCCUUCUCAAUCUCCUCCAGCACCUCGGCCGCAGUCUCCCACCUGAUAUAAGAUGAGCGGGGAUGCGAUCAAGGAGAAAGUCCACCACCAGGAUUCUGCUGGUGACGAACAGCACCCCUCCCUCGGUGUAAACGCUGUAGCGCUCGGAGCUCUGGACGUCGCUGGUCACCGUCCGGGGCAGAAGGACCAGGCUGUCUUUCUCCGAGUAAACCCGCAUGAACUGCAGCAGAAUGCGGUCUAACCCCAUCCCUUCAGCCACCACCAAGAGCCCAUCGGAGCUGAACAGACUCAGGAAGAUCUCGGUCUCGUACUCCAGCAGCGGCCCCGCCAUGAUGAUUCAGAUAUUUACUUUAUCAUCCGAAAGCAAAAAAUAAAUACAUGAAUUAA